UCCCCCAGUAGCGGCGAGCGAACGGGGAGCAGCCCAGAGCCUGAAUCAGCAUGUGUGGUAGUGGAACGGUCUGGAAAGGCCGGCGAUACAGGGUGACAGCCCCGUACACAAAAUUGCAUGUGCUGUGAGCUCGAUGAGUAGGGCGGGACACGUGGUAUCCUGUCUGAAUAUGGGGGGACCAUCCUCCAAGGCUAAAUACUCCUGACUGACCGAUAGUGAACCAGUACCGUGAGGGAAAGGCGAAAAGAACCCCGGCGAGGGGAGUGAAAAAGAACCUGAAACCGUGUACGUACAAGCAGUGGGAGCCUCUUU
rnacentral:rRNA from 1 species